rnacentral:rRNA from 1 species
UACGUAGGGUCCGAGCGUUGUCCGGAAUUACUGGGCGUAAAGAGCUCGUAGGUGGUUUGUCGCGUUGUUCGUGAAAACUCACAGCUCAACUGUGGGCGUGCGGGCGAUACGGGCAGACUUGAGUACUGCAGGGGAGACUUGAAUUCCUGGUGUAGCGGUGGAAUGCGCAGAUAUCAGGAGGAACACCGGUGGCGAAGGCGGCAUCCUGGACCGACACUGACGCUGAGGAGCGAAAGCCAGGGGAGCAAACGGG